rnacentral:lncRNA from 1 species
GCCAAGGCAUUGGAGAUGUGGUCGAUCAGUGGGGAUGACGAUUUUGUUAGCCGAUUCCUAAUGGUUUUUGAGAUAUAUAUAAAAAAACAACAAAAAAAAGAAGAAGGGGGAAAAAUAUUCAGUACGGCGGAUUGCAGAUGAACAAGAGUACGAGAAAAGUACAAGAGACGGUGCGAAGGACUGACCUCUAGGAAGUUGACGGCCAUUUUGCCACGGAGG